CUGGCAGUCAGAGGCGAUGAAGGACGUGCUAAUCUGCGAUAAGCGCCGGUAAGGUGAUAUGAACCGUUAUAACCGGCGAUUUCCGAAUGGGGAAACCCAGUGUGACUCGUCACACUAUCAUUAACUGAAUCCAUAGGUUAAUGAGGCGAACCGGGGGAACUGAAACAUCUAAGUACCCCGAGGAAAAGAAAUCAACCGAGAUUCCCCCAGUAGCGGCGAGCGAACGGGGAGGAGCCCAGAGCCUGAAUCAGCAUGUGUGUUAGUGGAAGCGUCUGGAAAGGCGCGCGAUACAGGGUGACAGCCCCGUACACAAAAGCGCAUGUGCUGUGAGCUCGAUGAGUAGGGCGGGACACGUGGUAUCCUGUCUGAAUAUGGGGGGACCAUCCUCCAAGGCUAAAUACUCCUGACUGACCGAUAGUGAACCAGUACCGUGAGGGAAAGGCGAAAAGAACCCCGGCGAGGGGAGUGAAAAAGAACCUGAAACCGUGUACGUACAAGCAGUGGGAGCCCCACCACCAAAGCAUUUGCUGUACCGCGUUGACGGA
rnacentral:rRNA from 1 species